rnacentral:rRNA from 1 species
GAUGAACGCUGGCGGCGUGCUUAACACAUGCAAGUCGAACGGAAAGGCCCAAGCUUGCUUGGGUACUCGAGUGGCGAACGGGUGAGUAACACGUGGGUGAUCUGCCCUUCACUUCGGGAUAAGUCUGGGAAACUGGGUCUAAUACCGGAUAGGACCACUUCUUGGAUGUUGUGGUGGAAAGAUUUUUCGGGGUGGGAUUAGCUCGCGGGCUAUCAGCUUGUUUGUGGGGUAAUGGCCUACCCAGGCGUCGACGGGUAGCCGGGCUGGGAGGGUGUACGGGCACAUUGGGGCUGGGAUACGGCCCAGGCUCCUACGGGAGGCAGGAGUGGGGAAUAUUGCACAAUGGGCGCGAGCCUGAUGCAGGGACGCCGCGCGGGGGAUGACGGCCUUCGGGUUGUAAACUCCUUUCGCUAGGGACGAAGCGUUUUGUGACGGUACCUGGUGAAGAAGCACCGGCUAACUACGUG